rnacentral:misc_RNA from 1 species
GUUGAACUCUUCAGAUUACACUGCUGCCAUAGAUGUUUGGUCUGUGGGUUGCAUCUUCAUGGAGCUUAUGAAUAGAAAACCUUUGUUUGCUGGAAAAGAUCAUGUACAUCAAAUUCGCUUGCUAACUGAGCUUCUUGGCACUCCUACAGAAUCUGAUCUUAGCUUCCUCCGUAAUGAAGAUGCAAAAAGAUACGUCAGGCAACUCCCACAACAUCCACGCCAGCAGUUAGCAACAGUGUUCCCUCAUGUGAAUCCAUUAGCCAUUGAUCUUGUAGAUAAGAUGUUGACGCUCGACCCUACUAGAAGAAUAACAGUUGAGGAAGCAUUAGCUCAUCCCUACCUCGCAAAGCUCCAUGAUGCAGCUGAUGAACCAGUCUGCCCCAUCCCGUUCUCUUUCGACUUUGAGCAACAAGGGAUAGGAGAAGAGCAGAUUAAAGACAUGAUUUAUCAAGAAGCUUUGGCGUUGAAUCCUGAAUAUGCUUAAGCAUAAGAGAAAUCAGUUCUUCUCUUGCUUACCUAGUGUGGAUUUUCUUGCUUGGACCAGCCCUCUCAAAGUUUUUGUUCACAGGGUCAGUAGUAGUCCUUUGCAACUUUAAUGUAAGGCAGCCUUCAAUUUGCAGCCAUUUUUAUAUACCUUUCUUCUUUAUUUUUUUUACUUAAUUAUGGUGGUGUUCGGGCUAGCUUGUGUUCACUCGACUAUUCCAUAGGAUACAUGUCAUCUCCCACCAACAAAAACGUUUGUACGUCUUCCACUCAUUCAUAUGACUUGUAUCUUGUGUUCUGUUUGUAGCUUAUUAUAGUAACUAUUUUUUGUUCAAUGUAUCAUGUUGUAUUAUGUACAGUAUGUACAAAAUCUAUCAAGAAUCUAUUUGUCAUUUUGAAGUUUUG